AAGUUUUGGAUCAAAUUGAUAUUUUUGUUUUCCCUUGGUCGGACAGGUUGGACGUCAAAUACAGAUUGCCAUGGGCCCAAUAAGUUUUCCACCGUAAGCAUUGAAUCUCCAUUGUUUUCCUAUGGUGUGGUCCACUUGAGCUUUGGAUCUCCGCUUUGACACCAGCUAUUUGGCUGGUGUUGGGUUCAUCAGCCAAACUGCGUCCGCCGGGGCUGGGGCUCACCAGGCGAGGGCCAAACACUGAUCCAGCCCUAGCCCCGCCCGCUCACGAUUAUCGUCGUCUUCAAUGUCUAGUUUCUAUCGGGAUUCGGAAGCAUACCUAUCCUCUCUCUCGCUCUCUCUCACUGCAGCAAUUUUCCUUCUCCUAUUAUAUUAAUAUUGUAAUAUAAAGUACAAGCUUCUUUGAAGAACUCUCUCCAACGUCUCAUACCAGUCUUAGGUAAUCAUUGUAAGACAUCAAUGGUCUUAGAGCUUGUGGAUGAAGCUUCCCAGAGAAAUCCGGGAUCUCGGUGGAUCGAAUCAAUGCCUGAAGACUGGAAACUGGACCGAAUUCACUUGAGAGUUUGUUCAGUAUUCGGUGAGUUUAAACUCAUAAUGCACAUACUAUUAGCUGAUAUUUCUAGUUUCCAAUUAGUCAAAAGAAAACCUGAGUUACACUCUUAACUUGAUCUGGGUCUCAAUUUCGGAAGUCGAAUUCCUGCGAUUUUUUUAACUUUUGACACCAAGAGAGUAGAAAGGAUCAUGGUGAAGCUGCACUUGUCAGUUACUAAAAUGAAUGAAAUCGUCAUUUGUCAGAGAAGGGAUCACACACCCUUAACUUGA